AUUGAACGCUGGCGGCAUGCUUUACACAUGCAAGUCGAACGGUAACAGGCCGCAAGGUGCUGACGAGUGGCGAACGGGUGAGUAAUGCAUCGGAACGUGCCCAGUCGUGGGGGAUAACUCCUCGAAAGAGUAGCUAAUACCGCAUACGAUCUAUGGAUGAAAGCGGGGGACCGUAAGGCCUCGCGCGAUUGGAGCGGCCGAUGUCAGAUUAGGUAGUUGGUGGGGUAAAGGCUCACCAAGCCAACGAUCUGUAGCUGGUCUGAGAGGACGACCAGCCACACUGGGACUGAGACACGGCCCAGACUCCUACGGGAGGCAGCAGUGGGGAAUUUUGGACAAUGGGCGCAAGCCUGAUCCAGCAAUGCCGCGUGCAGGAAGAAGGCCUUCGGGUUGUAAACUGCUUUUGUACGGAACGAAACGGCUCUGGUUAAUACCCGGGGCUAAUGACGGUACCGUAAGAAUAAGCACCGGCUAACUACGUG
rnacentral:rRNA from 1 species